GACUUCGUGAUGUAAUGGUCAGCACACUGAGCCGGUAUUUCAGAGGUCCGUGGUUCGAUCCCCGGCGAACGCA
rfam:Stegodyphus mimosarum contig70113, whole genome shotgun sequence.